rnacentral:rRNA from 1 species
ACGGGGGGAGCAAGCGUUGUUCGGAUUUACUGGGCGUAAAGGGCGCGUAGGCGGCCACCGCAAGUCGACUGUGAAAUCUCUGGGCUUAACCCAGAAAGGUCAGCCGAUACUGCGGGGCUAGAGUGCGGAAGGGGCAACUGGAAUUCUCGGUGUAGCGGUGAAAUGCGUAGAUAUCGAGAGGAACACCGAUGGCGAAGGCAGGUCUCUGGGCAUUAACUGACGCUGAGGAGCGAAAGCAUGGGGAGCGAACUGGAU